rnacentral:rRNA from 1 species
GACGAACGCUGGCGGCGUGCUUAACACAUGCAAGUCGAACGGAAAGGCCCUGCUUUUGUUGGGUGCUCGAGUGGCGAACGGGUGAGUAACACGUGAGUAACCUGCCCUUGACUUUGGGAUAACUUCAGGAAACUGGGGCUAAUACCGGAUAGGAGCUCCUGCUGCAUGGUGGGGGUUGGAAAGUUUCGGCGGUUGGGGAUGGACUCGCGGCUUAUCAGCUUGUUGGUGGGGUAGUGGCUUACCAAGGCUUUGACGGGUAGCCGGCCUGAGAGGGUGACCGGCAACAUUGGGACUGAGAUACGGCCCAGACUCCUACGGGAGGCAGCAGUGGGGAAUAUUGCACAAUGGGCGGAAGCCUGAUGCAGCAACGCCGCGUGCGGGAUGACGGCCUUCGGGUUGUAAACCGCUUUCGCCUGUGACGAAGCGUGAGUGACGGUAAUGGGUAAAGAAGCACCGGCUAACUACGUG